rnacentral:misc_RNA from 1 species
UACGUAGGUGGCAAGGGUUGUCCGGAAUUAUUGGGCGUACAGCGCGAGCAGGCGGUCCUUUAGGUCUGAUGUGAAAGCCCACGGCUCAACCGUGGAGGGUCAUUGGAAACUGGGGGACUUGAGUACAGAAGAGGAAAGCGGAAUUCCACGUGUAGCGGUGAAAUGCGUAGAGAUGUGGAGGCACACCAGUGGCGAAGGCGGCUUUCUGGUCUGUAACUGACGCUGAGGCGCGAAAGCGUGGGGAGCAAACAGG